rnacentral:rRNA from 1 species
AUUGAACGCUGGCGGCAGGCCUAGCACAUGCAAGUCGAACGGUAACAGGAAGCAGCUUGCUGCUUCGCUGACGAGUGGCGGACGGGUGAGUAAUGUCUGGGAAACUGCCUGAUGGAGGGGGAUAACUACCGGAAACGGUAGCUAAUACCGCAUAACGUCGCAAGACCAAAGAGGGGGACCUUAGGGCCUCUUGCCAUCGGAUGUGCCCAGAUGGGAUUAGCUAGUAGGUGGGGUAACGGCUCACCUAGGCGACGAUCCCUAGCUGGUCUGAGAGGAUGACCAGCCACACUGGAACUGAGACACGGUCCAGACUCCUACGGGAGGCAGCAGUGGGGAAUAUUGCACAAUGGGCGCAAGCCUGAUGCAGCCAUGCCGCGUGUAUGAAGAAGGCCUUCGGGUUGUAAAGUACUUUCAGCGGGGAGGAAGGGAGUAAAGUUAAUACCUUUGCUCAUUGACGUUACCCGCAGAAGAAGCACCGGCUAACUCCGUG